rnacentral:rRNA from 1 species
GGUUGAUCCUGCCAGUAGUCAUAUGCUUGUCUCAAAGAUUAAGCCAUGCAUGUCUAAGUGUAAACGACUUUAUACAGUGAAACUGCGAAUGGCUCAUUAAAUCAGUUAUAGUUUAUUUGAUAGUACCUUUACUACUUGGAUAACCGUGGUAAUUCUAGAGCUAAUACAUGCAAAAAAUCCCGACUUUCGUGGAAGGGAUGUAUUUAUUAGAUAAAAAAACCAACACCUGGGCAACCAGGAAAACUUUGGUGAUUCAUGAUAACUUUUCGAAUCGCAUGGCCUUGUGCCGGCG